rnacentral:rRNA from 1 species
CCCGGGCCUUGUACACACCGCCCGUCACACCAUGGGAGUCGGUCGCUCCAGAAGUAGGAACCUCAACCGCAAGGAAAGGCCCUACCAAGGAGUGGUCGGUGACUGGGGUG